UGGGGAAUAUUGCGCAAUGGGGGCAACCCUGACGCAGCCAUGCCGCGUGAAUGAAGAAGGCCUUCGGGUUGUAAAGUUCUUUCGGUAGCGAGGAAGGCAUUUAGUUUAAUAGACUAGGUGAUUGACGUUAACUACAGAAGAAGCACCGGCUAACUCCGUGCCAGCAGCCGCGGUAAUACGGAGGGUGCGAGCGUUAAUCGGAAUAACUGGGCGUAAAGGGCACGCAGGCGAUGACUUAAGUGAGGUGUGAAAGCCCCGGGCUUAACCUGGGAAUUGCAUUUCAUACUGGGUCGCUAGAGUACUUUAGGGAGGGGUAGAAUUCCACGUGUAGCGGUGAAGUGCGUAGAGAUGUGGAGGAAUACCGAAGGCGAAGGCAGCCCCUUGGGAAUGUACUGACGCUCAUGUGCGAAAGCGUGGGGAGCAAACAGG
rnacentral:rRNA from 1 species